CCUACGGGAGGCUGCAGUGGGGAAUAUUGCACAAUGGGCGCAAGCCUGAUGCAGCCAUGCCGCGUGUGUGAAGAAGGCCUUCGGGUUGUAAAGCACUUUCAGCGGGGAGGAAGGCGUUAAGGUUAAUAACCUUGGCGAUUGACGUUACCCGCAGAAGAAGCACCGGCUAACUCCGUGCCAGCAGCCGCGGUAAUACGGAGGGUGCAAGCGUUAAUCGGAAUUACUGGGCGUAAAGCGCACGCAGGCGGUCUGUCAAGUCGGAUGUGAAAUCCCCGGGCUCAACCGGGGAACUGCAUUCGAAACUGGGAGGCUAGAGUCUUGUAGAGGGGGGUAGAAUUCCAGGUGUAGCGGUGAAAUGCGUAGAGAUCUGGAGGAAUACCGGUGGCGAAGGCGGCCCCCUGGACAAAGACUGACGCUCAGGUGCGAAAGCGUGGGGAGCAAACAGGAUUAGAUACCCGGGUAGUC
rnacentral:rRNA from 1 species